rnacentral:misc_RNA from 1 species
GAUGAAGAACGUAGCGAAAUGCGAUAAGUAAUGUGAAUUGCAGAAUUCAGUGAAUCAUCGAAUCUUUGAACGCACAUUGCGCCCGCCAGUAUUCUGGCGGGCAUGCCUGUUCGAGCGUCAUUUCAACCAUCAAGCCCCCGGCUUGUGUUGGGGACCUGCGGCUGCCGCAGGCCCUGAAAACCAGUGGCGGGCUCGCUAGUCACUCCGAGCGUAGUAAUACAUCUCGCUCAGGGCGUGCUGCGGGUUCCGGCCGUUAAAAGCCUUAUUUUACCCAAGGUUGACCUCGGAUCAGGUAGGAAGACCCGCUGAACUUAAGCAUAUCAAUAAGCAGAGGA